UGCAACAACUGGCUCAGUCGCCUGGCUGGAAGCGCUUCCCCACAGCGCGCGGGUGAGAGCGGCCUCAGCGAAAUCCAGAGUGGAGCUAAACAGGCGCCAGCUUUCCUCACAACCUGAGUGAGAGCAGGGCCAGGACCGCAACCUGGAGGGCUCCACACGGGGGUUUUCUUGCCACCCAGAGCCAGUGGAGAGUGGGACCCAGUGAGGGUCUCACCCUCGAGUCUGUGAGAGAAGGCAGGCCCCUGGCAGGAGGAAGAGAAGCACAGACAGACCUGCUGGGGGCUGAUGCAAGGAAGGGAGCUGCGUAGGCGGCCCCCUCCUACCUGUGGCCGGUGGGCUGCCCUUGCCUCGGUGGUCCUUAUGGUCUGAGGCGCGGCCUUGGUCACUUUCCCGGCUUUUCUCUCGAGGACGCUGUGCGCCGUUGAGGACCUCUCCCGGAUCUUGAGUGUCGGAGGAGUGAAUAAUGAUGCCCCAGAUUUCAUUCCUGAAUUUGGUUACCAGAAUUAUGCUUGUGUAACAUUCAGCGCUUACCAUGAGAAUAUACACUGAAGAAAUGGACAGUGUGAUGUUUUUAUGCAACUAAGAAAAUGGAAUGCAAAAAGAUUCCUGAUAACAGUGGAUGAAGAUGAAAAGGCUGAUGUGGUUGCUACAGGAAGAGAGAAGCCUCAAGAGGGAAUUGAUGGUGGCAAUUAGAAUUGUAAGCAAACCUAAAUGCAAAAGCAUUCUGUACCUGAUUGUCUUGCCAAUGAGGAAAAAAA